rnacentral:rRNA from 1 species
UCAAGUUAUUAAGGGUGCAGGGCGGAUGCCUUGGCACUAGGAGCCGAUGAAGGACGUGAUAAGCUGCGAUAAGCUUCGGGGAGUUGCACGUAAACUUUGAUCCGAAGAUUUCCGAAUGAGGAAACUCACUUAGAGUAAUGUCUAAGUAUCAUUAAGUGAAUACAUAGCUUAAUGAGGGGAACUCAGGGAACUGAAACAUCUAAGUACCUGAAGGAAGAGAAAGAAAUUCGAUUCCGUAAGUAGCGGCGAGCGAACGCGGAUUAGCCCAAACCAAUAAAGUUUUCUUUAUUGGGGUUGCGGACAUAUCAUAACGAAGAGGUAUCGUAAUUGAAGAGGUUUGGAAAGACUCACCACAGAAGGUAAUAGUCCUGUAUGUUAAACGAGAAGACUUUAGAUAUGAUCCAGAGUACCACGGGACACGUGAAACCCUGUGGGAAGCAGGAGGGACCACCCUCCAAGGCUAAAUACUACCUAGUGACCGAUAGCGUAUAGUACCGUGAGGGAAAGGUGAAAAGAACCCCGGGAGGGGAGUGAAAUAGAACCUGAAACCCUGCACUUACAAGCUGUGGAAGCACAUUUCUUGUGUGACCGCGUACUUUUUGUAGAACGGGCCAACGAGUUACGUUAAGUAGCAAGGUUAAGCACUUAAGGUGCGGAGCCGUAGCGAAAGCGAGUUUUAACUGAGCGUUCAGUUACUUGACGUAGACCCGAAACCGGGCGACCUACCCAUGAGCAGGAUGAAGCGAAAGUAAAAUUUCGUGGAGGUCCGAACCCACGAGCGUUGAAAAGCUCGGGGAUGACUUGUGGGUAGCGGUGAAAUUCCAAUCGAGCCCGGAGAUAGCUGGUUCUCCCCGAAAUAGCUUUAGGGCUAGCCUCAAGGUGAGAGAUACGGAGGUAGAGCACUGAAUGUCCUAGGGGGUAUUGCACCUACCGAAGACUAUCAAACUCCGAAUGCCGUCAUCUUAUACUUGGGAGUCAGACUGUGGGUGAUAAGAUUCAUAGUCGAAAGGGCAACAGCCCAGAUCGUCAGCUAAGGUCCCUAAAUGUAAGUUAAGUGGUAAAGGAUGUGGGAUUGCACAGACAACCAGGAUGUUGGCUUAGAAGCAGCCACUCAUUCAAAGAGUGCGUAAUAGCUCACUGGUCGAGUGAUCCUGCGCCGAAGAUUUCCGGGGCUAAAACUUACUACCGAAGCUACGGCAUCAGUAAUGAUGGGUAGGGGAGCUUCCCAUACGGGUUGAAGCAUGACCGUAAGGACAUGUGGACAGUAUGGGAGUGAGAAUGUUGGCAUGAGUAGCGAGAUGUGGGUGAGAAUCCCACAGGCCGUAAACCCAAGGUUUCCAGGGGAAGGUUCGUCCGCCCUGGGUUAGUCGGGACCUAAGCUGAGGCCGAAAGGCGUAGGUGAUGGACAACAGGUUGAUAUUCCUGUACUACCGAUAACCAUUUGAGAGAAGGGAUGACACAGUAGGAUAAGCUAAGCACACUGUUGGUUAUGUGUGCCCAAGCAUUGAGGCAGUCAAAGUAGGCAAAUCCGCUUUGAUAAUGCUGGGAUGUGAUGGGGAGCGAAAUUUAGUAGCGAAGUAGCUGAUUUCACACUGUCAAGAAAAGUCUCUAUCGAGGUUAAAGGUACCCGUACCGCAAACCGACACAGGUGGGUGAGGAGAGUAUCCUAAGGCCAGCGAGAGAACUGUUGUUAAGGAACUCGGCAAAAUGACCCCGUAACUUAGGGAUAAGGGGUGCCACCAUCAGGUGGCCGCAGAGAAUAGGCCCAAGCGACUGUUUACCAAAAACAUAGGUUUCUGCUAAGUCGCAAGACGAUGUAUAGGAGCUGACGCCUGCCCGGUGCUGGAAGGUUAAGGGGAUCUGUUAGAGCAAUCGAAGCAGUGAACUUAAGCCCCAGUAAACGGCGGCCGUAACUAUAACGGUCCUAAGGUAGCGAAAUUCCUUGUCGGGUAAGUUCCGACCCGCACGAAAGGCGUAACGAUUUGGGCACUGUCUCAACAACAGACUCGGUGAAAUUGUAAUUCCGGUGAAGAUGCCGGAUACCUGCGACAGGACGGAAAGACCCCAUGGAGCUUUACUGUAGCUUGACAUUGGGUCUUGGUACUACAUGUACAGGAUAGGUGGGAGGCUUUGAAACCAGGACGCCAGUUUUGGCGGAGCCAUCCUUGGGAUACCACCCUUGUAGUACUGGGACUCUAACCAUAGGCCAUGAAUCUGGUCUUGGGACACUGUCAGGUGGGCAGUUUGACUGGGGCGGUCGCCUCCCAAAAGGUAACGGAGGCGCUCAAAGGUUCUCUCAGUACGGUCGGAAAUCGUACGUAGAGUGUAAAGGCAAAAGAGAGCUUGAUUGCAAGACAUACAGGUCGAGCAAGGAUGAAAAUCGGACUUAGUGAUCCGGUGGUUCUGCGUGGAAGGGCCAUCGCUCAACGGAUAAAAGCUACCCUGGGGAUAACAGGCUUAUCUCCCCCAAGAGUCCACAUCGACGGGGAGGUUUGGCACCUCGAUGUCGGCUCAUCACAUCCUGGGGCUGUAGUAGGUCCCAAGGGUUGGGCUGUUCGCCCAUUAAAGUGGUACGCGAGCUGGGUUCAGAACGUCGUGAGACAGUUCGGUCCCUAUCCGUCGCAGGCGUAGGAAAUUUGAGAAGACCUGUCCUUAGUACGAGAGGACCGGGAUGGACGUACCUCUGGUGUACCAGUUGUCCUGCCAAGGGCAUGGCUGGGUAGCUAUGUACGGAAUGGAUAAGCGCUGAAAGCAUCUAAGCGCGAAGCCAACUUCAAGAUAAGAUUUCCCACCGCAAGGGUAAGACCCCAGAAAGACUAUCUGGUUGAUAGGUCGAAGGUGUAAGUGCAGCAAUGUAUUUAGCUUAUCGAUACUAAUAGGUCGAGGACUUGACCAA